rnacentral:tRNA from 1 species
CGGGUGUAGUUCAAUGGUAGAAUACCAGCCUUCCAAGCUGGCUACGUGGGUUCGAUUC